UUUGGUUUAGGUUAUAGGUUUUUGGAUUUGAGAAUGGGUUCGGGUUUAGGUUAUAGGUUUUGGUUUUGGUUUAGGUUAUAGGUUAAGGUUUAGGUUUAGGUUUAGGUUUAGGUUAUAGGUUUUGGGAUUUGAGAAUGGGUUCGGGUUUAAGUUAUAGGUUUUGAGAUUUGAGAAUGGGUUCGGGUUUAGGUUAUAGGUUUUGGUUUUGGUUUAAGUUAUAGGUUUUGGUUUAGGUUAUAGGUUUUUGGAUUUGAGAAUGGGUUCGGGUUUAGGUUAUAGGUUUUGG